rnacentral:rRNA from 1 species
UACAGAGGGUGCGAGCGUUGUUCGGAAUCACUGGGCUUAAAGGGCGCGUAGGCGGGCUGACAAGUCUGGGGUGAAAUGCCGCGGCUCAACCGUGGAACUGCCUCAGAUACUGUCGGCCUCGAGGAAGGUAGGGGCAUGCGGAACUGUAGGUGGAGCGGUGAAAUGCGUUGAUAUCUACAGGAACUCCGGUGGCGAAAGCGGCGUGCUGGGACCUUUUCUGACGCUGAGGCGCGAAAGCUAGGGGAGCAAACGGG